AACGUAGGAGACAAACGUUAUCCGGAGUUACUGGGCGUAAAGGGCGUGUAGGCGGUUAGUUAAGUCUGGCGUGAAAGCUCUCGGCUAAACCGGGAGAGGUCGUUGGAUACUGGCUGACUAGAGGACGGUAGAGGCGUGUGGAAUUCCGGGUGUAGUGGUGAAAUGCGUAGAGAUCCGGAGGAACACCAGUUGCGAAGGCGACACGCUGGGCCGUACCUGACGCUAAAGCGCGACAGCAUGGGGAGCAAACGGG
rnacentral:rRNA from 1 species